rnacentral:rRNA from 1 species
GACGAACGCUGGCGGCGUGCCUAAUACAUGCAAGUAGAACGCAGUCGCGAACGGGAGAGCAACGCGUAGGUAACUGCCUAUUAGAGGGGGAUAACUAUUGGAAACGAUAGCUAAUACCGCAUCCUAGUAGAUGGACCUGCGUUGUAUUAGCUAGUAGGUGGGGUAAUGGCCUACCUAGGCGACGAUACAUAGCCGACCUGAGAGGGUGAUCGGCCACACUGGACCUGAGACACGGUCCAGACUCCUACGGGAGGCAGCAGUGGGGAAUAUUGCACAAUGGGCGCAAGCCUGAUGCAGCCAUGCCGCGUGUAUGAAGAAGGCCUUCGGGUUGUAAAGUACUUUCAGCGGGGAGCGUUACCCGCAGAAGAAGCACCGGCUAACUACGUGCCAGCAGCCGCGGUAAUUC